GAUGAACGCUGGCGGCGUGCCUAAUACAUGCAAGUCGAGCGAACAGACGAGGAGCUUGCUCCUCUGACGUUAGCGGCGGACGGGUGAGUAACACGUGGAUAACCUACCUAUAAGACUGGGAUAACUUCGGGAAACCGGAGCUAAUACCGGAUAAUAUAUUGAACCGCAUGGUUCAAUAGUGAAAGACGGUUUUGCUGUCACUUAUAGAUGGAUCCGCGCCGCAUUAGCUAGUUGGUAAGGUAACGGCUUACCAAGGCAACGAUGCGUAGCCGACCUGAGAGGGUGAUCGGCAACACUGGAACUGAGACACGGUCCAGACUCCUAAGGGAGGCAGCAGUAGGGAAUCUUCCGCAAUGGGCGAAAGCCUGACGGAGCAACGCCGCGUGAGUGAUGAAGGUCUUCGGAUAGUAAAACUCUGUUAUUAGGGAAGAACAAAUGUGUAAGUAACUAUGCACGUCUUGAAGGUACCUAAUCAGAAAGCCACGGAUAACUACGUG
rnacentral:rRNA from 1 species